CAGAGCUCCCGUGCACAUAGUGAGCGGCUCCGCGGGCUGCGACGAGGGCCGCGACCACUUUACACAGUCUCCCUUCAACUGGUCGGCUUUCCGGUCUCAAGACUACGGAUACACUCGGUUCAAGGCUUACAAUAAGACGCACAUCAAUAUUGAGCAAGUGUCAGUAGAUCUCGGAGGACAAGUCAUUGACUCGUUUUGGCUGAAGAAAACCAUUUCAUCAAGUCGAGAUCCAACAUUUUCUACGAAGAUUUAAAAUACACUAUACCAAAUAUUUUUUACUCCAUAUUUUGACGGCCUCCCUGGCGCAGGGGUCUUAGAAAUGAGAGAGGAUUCAAUUCUCGGCAGGAAAAAUUUGGAAUUUCAUAAU